GCCAAGCAAGGUCAAAGGACCUUGGAGAAAAAAUUUCAUAAUUUUUAAAGACUUAAAAGUAUUUUUAAAUAAUUAAAAAUAAUCACAAAAUCUAUUAAAUCAUGAAAAAUAUUAAUAAUGAUCCCAAAAAUAAUUUUAAUUCAGAAUAUGAAAGAGGAAAUUAUUUGAAUUUUUUUGGUGAAACUCUCAUAUUUUUUGGAUCAAUAUUAAAAUUAAUAUGAAUUAAUGAAAAUAAAAGGAUUAAAACAAAAAUCAGAAAAUAUGAAGAAAAAAAACGUGAGCC
rnacentral:lncRNA from 1 species